rnacentral:misc_RNA from 1 species
AACGGUCUAUACCUGCGGUACCUGCGGAAGGAUCAUUACCGAGUUUACAACUCCCAAACCCCAAUGUGAACAUUACCUUUACUGUUGCUUCGGCGGGAUCGCCCCGGGCGCGGCCGAGAGGCCCAGCCCCGGAUCCAACGUGCGCCCGCCGGAGGACCCCCAGACUCCAUGUUUCUUGCAAGGUAUUUCUGAGCUGCUCCUAGCGAGCAAAACAAAAAAUGAAUCAAAACUUUUAACAAU